rnacentral:lncRNA from 10 species
CAGAAAGGAGGCAAAAUAUCAGGAAAGAAGCAGACACCGAGGGAGAAUUUUAAAGACUUCAAAGAGCCCGAGUGGACUACCACAUCCCUGUAGCUGGCAGUCCUAUAGCUGGCGGUCCUACUUGUCCAGUAAGCUUCCAAACAUUGGCUCCUCUCUGAAAAGGUCACCCUGCUUUUCAGACAGAAUUUGUGACUCUCGGCAGCUGGGAAUACUUUGGAACUGAAGAGAACCUAUUAGGAGAGAGAAAAAACAGAGUCAUGAUUAAGCAAAAAAAAAAUGGAGAAAAGAUUCACCUCUAAAUUUUAUUUAAUGACAACAAAAACACACAACAUUUCUCUUUGAUUCAUAACGUUAAUAAAUUCUACUUAUCGUUUGCAAUAAUUCCAAGGUGUUCUAAAGACAUCUUUAUAUUAGAAAAGAGUUCCAUAUUAGUUUGAAUUACUUCAGGAAAGAAAUGCCCUAUUCCACCACUACAAGUUAUGGGGAAAUCUAUAGCAGAACAUUUUGUACUCUCACUAAUGAAGAAAGAACCCAGUAAGGAUUGCUGUAUUUUGGAGAUUAGGGAAUUGUGUUCACACUCACAAUAAAAUGUUAAGCUACUACGUCAGAGAAGGCUUGGUUCAUUUAUUUUGACACCAGUAUUUGAAAUAAUUUAG